rnacentral:rRNA from 1 species
UACGUAGGGUGCAAGCGUUAAUCGGAAUUACUGGGCGUAAAGGGUGCGCAGGCGGUAUUGUAAGCCAGAUGUGAAAUCCCCGGGCUCAACCUGGGAACUGCGUUUGGAACUGCAAUGCUAGAGUGUGUCAGAGGGGGUGGAAUUCCACGUGUAGCAGUGAAAUGCGUAGAGAUGUGGAGGAACACCGAUGGCGAAGGUAGCCCCCUGGGAUAACACUGACGCUCAGGCACGAAAGCGUGGGGAGCAAACAGG